UGCGUAGGCUGUUUUGUGUGUCAGAUGUGAAAGCCCAUGGCUCAACCAUGGAAUUGCAUUUGAAACUGCAGAACUUGAGUAUCGGAGAGGUAGAUGGAAUUCUAGGUGUAGCGGUGAAAUGCGUAGAUAUCUAGAAGAACACCAGCGGACGAAAGCGAUCUACUGGACGAAUACUGACGCUGAGGCACGAAAGCCGAGGGGAGCGAAGA
rnacentral:rRNA from 1 species